CUGAUUGUGUUCUCUCUCUCUCUCUCUCUAAUAAAUAAAUCUUUAAAAAUAAAUAAAUAAAUAAAUAAAUAAAUAAAUAAAUAAAUAAAAAUAAAAAUGAAGAACCUAAGGCUUUAUGAAGUACCUUGUCCCAGGUCAGGCUCUAAGGCUCUAACCUAAGUCUAUCCAAAGGAUUUAAGCAGAAUUUAUAGGCAGAAUCAGGAGUUUUCCUUCUGUGGAUCAUCUACUUCUGGAAGUCACCCCUAACUUUCUGUUCAAUGGUUCUCCACCCAGGAAGACAGGUUUUCUACUGGUGUUUUAACUGUUCCUAACUAGGUCCUGACUUAGACUAGAAGUCAUCAAAAUAGGAAACUAAGUCAGUCCCAUUCAUUUCUCUCCAAGAUCAACCCCCCUCCAGAUUUUGCUAGCUAGUCUCUCUCUCCAGUGACCCCUUUCUGAAUUCCAAAUCUGUAUGACUAACUGCUUUCUAGACAUUGCCAUUUGAAUGCUUCAAAUUCAACAUCUGAAGUGGACCCUCUUUUUCUCUCAAAAUACACUCUUCCUUCUCAAUUUAUUUAUUUUUUUUUUUUUAAGAUUUUCUAUUUUUAGACCUGAUGUGGGGUUUGAAUCCACCAUCCCAAGAUCAAGGAUCGCAUGCUCUUCCAACUGAGCCAGCCAGGCACCACUCUCAGUUUCUUAACGGAUGACACAACCACCUAAGCCAAGCACAGAGCGAUAUCCUUGACCUCUUGAUUCUCUUACUAACAAAAUCCUAGCGACUCUCUCUCCUUAACACCUCAAUUUCAUUCCUACUGCAAUUGUCUUAGUUCACUUCUUUUCCAUUCUUUGCCAGUAUUAUUCCAACACUCUGAACUGUCUCCCUAUUUCUCAUUGUACCCUCUUCCUAGCUUUUCUUUACACUGUGGCCAAAGUGAUCUUUCUAAAAUAUAUGUAUCUGCUCAUAUGACCUCUCUUCAGUAAUUCCUCACUGCCUCCAGGACAACAUCGCAGAUAUUUUCAUUGUCAAAAUUUCCGUCUGCUACAGUGGCCUUUACCCAUUCCUCCACACACAUUCCUCUAAUACUGCUCACACACUAGCUCUUGCAUUGAAACACCCUUUCCUCCACCAUCCAGCUAACAUUUCUCAAAAUAAGGAGGAGAAAUUUACAUAUUUGCAGGGAAUUUUCUGAAAUGCCUUUAUGCAGAUCACAGUAAUAUCUUGGUUUUAUCUUUGCUCUCCUCUCCCCUAUUUAUGUUCCCAGAGUCCAGGACAGUGGCUGAUAUAUAUUAAAUUCUCCAUAAAUACUUGUUGAAGUAACAAAACAAAAUAUUUAAAUAAUAGAAGAGUAGUCAUAUUAUAAAUUGGGUAUGCUUCUCCCCUAGAGUUUUCCCCUAGACAAACAAUUUUAAUUCUUCCAACCUUUCCUUUUAAUCACUUUAGUGAACAUCCACAGAAAAGGGGAAAAAAUACACUCCAGCUUCUUCACAAUGAAUUGAACUUGGACUGGGUAUUCCUAAACCAAGUAUUUCACUCCUGGUUCUUUUCACUCCUGAUUCUUUCCACUGCACUGAUCAUCAGGGUGAUUGAAUGAUCUAGAAAUAUUUUUAACAACUUUAGUAGUAAAAGGAACUCAAUACACCUUAUGUCAUGUCAUCACAUUUGCCGAAUUCCUUAAUAAUAACUGGGGAAAACACCAACAUUUUCUAUUUAUCUAAGAGUUGCCUGUGAGUAGGGUCACCCUUGCUCUUUUGGAUCGAAAUGUGCAAACCUACAGAUUCACAAAGUAAAAAACUCAUCUAUUUUGGAAGAGACAGUAACAAGAAAAAAUACAAAAUGAAGAUACAAAAAUAUUCUGUACAUACAUAAUACGAAAUAAAUGUCUCACUCAAAAGAAAUGAAGAUCCAAAAAGAGGUUAAAUAGUGAAGAAUUAAAUCAAAGCCCAAAGGUAGCAUAAGAAUGCUACAGGAAAGAGAAAGAAAGAAAGAAAAGAAAGAAGAAAGAAGAAAGAAAGAGAAGAAAGAAAGAAAGAAAGAAAGAAAGAAAGAAAGAAAGAAAGAAAGAAAGAAAGAAAGAAAGAAAGAAAAGGACUCAAAUAUACAACUCACCUCUCUCAUCAGAAGACUAACUGCAACAAUGUGAACCACUCAAUUUUUCUUGGCCACAGGAGAAUAAGAAAUGGUGGAGUAUAGUAGAUUAGUCAACUGAAUAACUGUAGUGAGAAACCAUUUAGUAACAAAUAUUGACAUUUCAACCUAUAUUAACAUGAAAUGCAAGUGGGUAUAGAAGAUAUCCAAAUAACUUAUUUGACUUAUGCAAGAUAAUUUGGAGUGGAAGAAAAGACUAAUUAAUACCUAGAAAUAGCAACCUAAACUCAAACUGGGCUCAAGAUUUAAAAAAUACUACUACUGCUAAUAAUAAUACAUGCAGUAUUUUUCUACAUUGCUUUGCAAUAUUGUGCCACCUGAGGGCACUAAAGGCUUAAAAAUAUUUUCACCACGUUCGCCACUGAAAUAAAGUUGUUCAAAUUCUUUUCAAUGAACAUUUGUUGAGCAUUGUUCAUUUUUUUAAGAACAAAGAGACGAAAAAAAAAAAAAGAACAAAGAGACAUAAUGACACAAACACAAAUAAAAUAUGAUCAGUAGCCUUAGUGAAUGAGUGGGAGUGGCCUUAGUGCUGGCUGCAGAGGAGAAUGUCAUGCUCCAUAUUAAAUACUGUCAUUUGCCAGGCUGGGCCCAUAAUUAGUGUCAUUUGAUAUGAGUAUAUUCAAUCUAUCCUAGACAUUGCUUCUCUAACUAGGGCCCAGAUUCCCGAGAGUCUCUGAAACUCUUAGAGGAUUGGUUCAGUUCACACUACUUUCAUUAUAAUACCAACAUGUUUCUGCUUUUGUCACUUUUUUUCUGAGGCAUCUGUAGUGUUUUCCAGAGACUUCAUGAUGUGAUAAUGUUAUUGCUCUGCUAAUGAAAUAUGCUUGUAUAUCGUGGUUUUUUUUUAAGAAAUUUCUAAGGUAGCAAGGUGAUUCACUCCCUCAUUGGUGCAGGUGCGGGGGUGGAGGGGGGGCCUCCCCAGCUGGAGUGUGGUCAAGAGAGUGUGCAACAUCCUUGAAUCCAUGCGCGAGAUCUUCUGUGCCCCUAGGGACUCUGGCUCACCCCAUGGCAGAUUCCCAGUGCCUCUUGGGCCCUGCAUCUGCCCUCCCCACCACCAGCCUGCACCAACUUUUCACACCCCUAAAGGCAAUUCUCCUGUUUGCUGAGAUUACAUGGUGGCUGGUGAUUCGGAUCUGCUUCAGCACCUCCACACCAGGAUACUCCUCCCUGACAGUGGAUGAGAUGAUCCUUGCUGGGGUUUUUUGCAAUCUAUAUGUGUGACUUGCACACCAAGAUGCAGAUCAUCACUGGCCUUGGAGUGAUUUCUUCCACACCCUCAUUGCGGCCAUCCUCUAUCCAAUGACCUCCUUGUUGUCCUUCUUGAGAGAGGAAACCACUCCUAAAUCAUUGCAGGGUUACUGGGCCUAAUCCCUAUGUGCCUCUUUGGUAUAAUGUCUAUGCCUCACCUACCCUGUGACAGUAAGGACAUACAGCAGCCCCACUGACUCAGUGGAUGGCCCAGUGUAGGUGAGCUCCCUUCAUUUCUCUCUGCAGCCUGCAAAAAACACUUUCAUCGAAAUAACUCCUCCUUGUCCCUACAACACUCCCAAGCCAACUCCCAGCCUCUUACUGAAGUAAAAGUGCCUUUAUGGAGAGACUGUCUUCCCACCUGCCUCCUGGUUUGGCCAUUUUUAUGGGGGAGUUGGCUUAACCUAGGGAGAUCAAAUAACUGAUUUUCAACAGUUCAGAGCUACACUGCACAUAAAGAUGUUGAAAGUAAUGAACUCAUGGAAGGAAGGAAUCUACUCCAAAAAAACUGCAAAAAGCUAUACAUAAAGUUUAAUGAAAACA